rnacentral:rRNA from 1 species
AACGAACGCUGGCGGCAGGCUUAACACAUGCAAGUCGAACGCCCUAGCAAUAGGGAGUGGCGCACGGGUGAGUAACGCGUGGGAAUGUACCGUUUAGUGGGGGAUAACCAAAGGAAACUUUGGCUAAUACCGCAUACGCCCUUCGGGGGAAAGAUUUAUCGCUAAACGAGCAGCCCGCGUGAGAUUAGGUAGUUGGUGGGGUAACGGCCUACCAAGCCGACGAUCUCUAGCUGGUCUGAGAGGAUGAUCAGCCACACUGGAACUGAGACACGGUCCAGACUCCUACGGGAGGCAGCAGUGGGGAAUAUUAGACAAUGGGGGCAACCCUGAUCCAGCCAUGCCGCGUGAGUGAUGAAGGCCUUAGGGUUGUAAAGCUCUUUUACCGAUGAAGAUAAUGACGGUAGUCGGAGAAAAAGCCCCGGCUAACUUCGUGCCAGCCGCCGCGGUAA